GCGCACGGGAGAGUAAACGCGUAAGCAACCUACCUAUCAGAGGGGAAUAACCCGGCGAAAGUCGGACUAAUACCGCAUAAAACAGGGGUUCCACAUGGAAAUAUUUGUUAAAGAAUUAUCGCUGAUAGAUGGGCAUGCGUUCCAUUAGAUAGUUGGUGAGGUAACGGCUCACCAAGUCCACGAUGGAUAGGGGUUCUGAGAGGAAGGUCCCCCACACUGGUACUGAGACACGGACCAGACUCCUACGGGAGGCAGCAGUGAGGAAUAUUGGUCAAUGGGCGAGAGCCUGAACCAGCCAAGUCGCGUGAAGGAUGAAGGAUCUAUGGUUUGUAAACUUCUUUUAUAUGGGAAUAAAGUGAGGAACGUGUUCCUUUUUGUAUGUACCAUAUGAAUAAGCAUCGGCUAACUCCGUGCCAGCAGCCGCGGUAAUACGGAGGAUGCGAGCGUUAUCCGGAUUUAUUGGGUUUAAAGGGUGCGUAGGUGGUUAAUUAAGUCAGCGGUGAAAGUUUGUGGCUCAACCAUAAAAUUGCCGUUGAAACUGGUUGACUUGAGUAUAUUUGAGGUAGGCGGAAUGCGUGGUGUAGCGGUGAAAUGCAUAGAUAUCACGCAGAACUCCGAUUGCGAAGGCAGCUUACUAAACUAUAACUGACACUGAAGCACGAAAGCGUGGGGAUCAAACAGGAUUAGAUACCCUGGUAGUCCACGCAGUAAACGAUGAUUACUAGCUGUUUGCGAUACACAGUAAGCGGCACAGCGAAAGCGUUAAGUAAUCCACCU
rnacentral:rRNA from 1 species